rnacentral:tRNA from 1 species
CCCUGGUGGCUCAGAUGGUAAAGAGUCUGCCUGCAAUGCAGGAGACCCAGGUUCAAUCCCUGGACCAGGAA